AGGCGGUUCGGCAAGUCGUCCGUGAAAGCCCGGGGCUCAACCCCGGGAGGCCGGGCGAGACUGCCGGGCUAGAGGACGGCAGAGGAGGGUGGAGCGGCCGGAGUAGCGGUGAAAUGCGUAGAUACCGGCCGAAAUCCCGAUGGCGAAGGCAACCCUCUGGGCCGUUCCUGACGCUGAGGCGCGAAAGCGUGGGGAGCGAACCGGAUUAGAUACCCGGGUAGUCCACGCCCUAAACGAUGCGGGCUAGGUGUCGGGGGUAUUCCCUCGGUGCCGCAGCUAACGCGUUAAGCCCGCCGCCUGGGCAGUACGGCCGCAAGGCUGAAACUCAAGGGAAUUGACGGGGUCCCACACAAGCGGUGGAGCAUGUGGUUUAAUUCGAUGCUAAACGAAGAACCUUACCCAGGCUUGACAUGCAGGUGGUACCGACCCGAAAGGGAAGGGACCCCGGGCCGAAAGGCGCCGGGGAGCCUGCACAGGUGCUGCAUGGCUGUCGUCAGCUCGUGCCGUGGGGUGUUGGGUUAAGUCCCGGAACGAGCGCAACCCCUGCCGCCAGUUGCCAGCGGGCCCAAAUGGGCGCCGGGGACUCUGGCGGGACUGCCGGCGAAUAGCCGGAGGAAGGAGGGGAUGACGUCAAGUCCUCAUGGCCCUUAUGCCCGGGGCUACACACAUGCUACAGUGCCCGGUACAAUGGGACGCGAAGGGGCGACCCGGAGCAAAUCCCAUCAAAGCCGGGCAUGGUGCGGAUUGCAGGCUGCAACCCGCCUGCAUGAAGAGGGAAUCGCUAGUA
rnacentral:rRNA from 1 species